GAAAGAGAAAGAGACAUAAGCUGAAGAAUCAAAGAGGAGGAGGGAGAUGCGGAUGAGCCUUCACUUCAACAAGAAGCUUCUGUAGCAGAAUAUGUGUCACUUUCACACUUGUCUUCAAAGCAAAACCUGCACCAAUAGCACAAAGCUCAUACCUCAAUUGCAGCAGAAAAGAAAAGACAACAUUGCAGAGCUAUCCAUCCGAAGAUGGGAUCCCUUCAGACACCGAUAGGAAUGAGAAGCUCCUCUUUGUUAGAUACAUCCUGCGGAUAUUUGCUCAGAGAGUUACAGGCAAGUUUGUUUGAUGGUUCUUUCUGUUUCUUUGAAGUAUAAUGGUUCAUAAUCAAGAAUUAUCUAACAGAUGGAUGGUCACUGUUUUGUGCACAGAUGAUAUGGGAUGAAGUUGGAGAAGAUAAGUUUGAGAGAGAAAAAGUGUUGCUUGAUAUAGAGCAGGAAUGUGUAGAGGCUUACCGGAGAAAAGUUGACCAGGCCAAUGUUUCAAGGUCUCGUCUACAUCAAGAGCUGGCAGAAACUGAAGCCGAAGUCACCCAUUUUCUUUUGUGCCUCGGUGAAAGAUCAGUACCUGGAAGGGUAAUUUUCAUUCUUUAAUAUCCAUUAUGAAGCAAAGAUUAUUCAUUUAAGCAAAACCAAGACUAGUCCACAUUUUUAGAUAAUUUUGUUGUCAUUCUCUAUACAGCCGGAGAAAAAGGGAGGAACACUGAGGGAGCAGCUGGACUCUAUUGCACCUGCACUGCGUGAGAUGAGGCAGAGGAAAGAUGAGAGAGUGAAGCAGUUCCGAUCUGUCAAAGGGGAAAUUCAGAAAAUUUCAGCAGAAAUAGCAGGUAAACCAACAUAUGAAGACUCAUCUAGAAAGAUAACCAUAGAUGACAACGAUCUUUCUGAUAAGAAACUCGAGGAAUAUCAGAACGAACUGCAUAGACUCAAUGAUGAGAAGGUACAUUUGUAAUACCAAAUUGGGAAACAUUUUGUGAACAUGCCUUGCUUUUACUUAUCAGACAGUUCUAUCUUAUCCAUCAUGUGGUGUCUUUGAUUGUUUUGUCACACAAGAAUGAGAGACUACAGAAGGUUGAUAUAUACAUAUGCGCCAUUCGAGAUCUAUCAGCUACAUUGGGUACAGAAGCAUCAAUGAUCAUAACAAAGAUUCACCCAAGCCUGAACGACCUCUAUGGAAUAUCCAAAAACAUCAGUGAUGAUAUCUUAAAAAAGCUUAAUGGCACUGUUGUGUCUCUCGAAGAGGAAAAGCACAAGCGCCUUGAAAAGGUGAAGUUAAUUAGACAUGUUUCAUUUCAUUAUCUAUCCUCAGAAUAUAUAGCUUAACAAAUAACUUGAAACACAAAUUAAUCAGUAAAGAGACGCACAUUUAUCAAAGAGAAAAGAGGUUGUUAUCUGACCUUUUAAGACAUCAUUUGUGCAGCUUCACCAUCUUGGUAGAGCUUUAUCGGACUUGUGGGAUCUGAUGGAUGCAUCUUAUGAAGAUCGUCAAAAGUUUUCUCACGUCAUUGAUUUACUAUCAUUUGCACCAUCAGACGUGUGUGCUCCUGGCAGCAUUACAUUAGACAUAAUUCAACAGGUAAGUAUAUAAUUAUGUAGACAUGUAGUACAGUGGUUCCGUACCAAUGAUAACUGAUGUUGACCGCCUUUUCUUUUGUGCAAAAUUUUUCCCAAGGCUGAGGCUGAAGUCAAGAGACUAGAUCAACUGAAAGCAAGCAGAACCAAAGAACUUUUCCUCAAGAAGCAAAAGGAACUAGAGGAUACAUGCAACAUAUCGCAUAUGGAAACUCCAUCAACCGAAAUAGGAAAUAUAAUGAACCUUGUAGACUCCGGUGAGGCUAACUGUAACUUUCUGCAACUGCUGGGUGUCUUUGUUAUACAUGUCAAACUCAUUGCAGAGUUUUCAUACUCUAUUUGAAAGG
rnacentral:lncRNA from 1 species